rnacentral:rRNA from 1 species
CACUAUCGUUAACUGAAUACAUAGGUUAACGAGGCGAACCGGGGGAACUGAAACAUCUAAGUACCCCGAGGAAAAGAAAUCAACCGAGAUUCCCCCAGUAGCGGCGAGCGAACGGGGAGCAGCCCAGAGUCUGAAUCAGCUUGUGUGUUAGUGGAACGGUCUGGAAAGUCCGACGGUACAGGGUGAUAGUCCCGUACACCAAAAUGCACAGGUUGUGAACUCGAAGAGUAGGGCGGGACACGUGGUAUCCUGUCUGAAUAUGGGGGGACCAUCCUCCAAGGCUAAAUACUCCUGACUGACCGAUAGUGAACCAGUACCGUGAGGGAAAGGCGAAAAGAACCCCGGCGAGGGGAGUGAAAAAGAACCUGAAACCGUGUACGUACAAGCAGUGGGAGCACCUUCGGGUGUGACUGCGUACCUUUUGUAUAAUGGGUCAGCGACUUAUAUUCUGUAGCAAGGUUAACCGUAUAGGGGAGCCGCAGGGAAACCGAGUCUUAACUGGGCGUUAAGUUGCAGGGUAUAGACCCGAAACCCGGUGAUCUAGCCAUGGGCAGGUUGAAGGUUGGGUAACACUAACUGGAGGACCGAACCGACUAAUGUUGAAAAAUUAGCGGAUGACUUGUGGCUGGGGGUGAAAGGCCAAUCAAACCGGGAGAUAGCUGGUUCUCCCCGAAAGCUAUUUAGGUAGCGCCUCGUGAAUUCAUCUUCGGGGGUAGAGCACUGUUUCGGCUAGGGGGUCAUCCCGACUUACCAACCCGAUGCAAACUACGAAUACCGAAGAAUGUUAUCACGGGAGACACACGGCGGGUGCUAACGUCCGUCGUGAAGAGGGAAACAACCCAGACCGCCAGCUAAGGUCCCAAAGUCAUGGUUAAGUGGGAAACGAUGUGGGAAGGCACAGACAGCCAGGAUGUUGGCUUAGAAGCAGCCAUCAUUUAAAGAAAGCGUAAUAGCUCACUGGUCGAGUCGGCCUGCGCGGAAGAUGUAACGGGGCUAAACCAUGCACCGAAGCUGCGGCAGCGACACUAUGUGUUGUUGGGUAGGGGAGCGUUCUGUAAGCCUGCGAAGGUGACCUGUGAGGGUUGCUGGAGGUAUCAGAAGUGCGAAUGCUGACAUAAGUAACGAUAAAGCGGGUGAAAAGCCCGCUCGCCGGAAGACCAAGGGUUCCUGUCCAACGUUAAUCGGGGCAGGGUGAGUCGACCCCUAAGGCGAGGCCGAAAGGCGUAGUCGAUGGGAAACAGGUUAAUAUUCCUGUACUUGGUGUUACUGCGAAGGGGGGACGGAGAAGGCUAUGUUAGCCGGGCGACGGUUGUCCCGGUUUAAGCAUGUAGGCUGGUUAUCCAGGCAAAUCCGGAUAAUCAAGGCUGAGGUGUGAUGACGAGGCACUACGGUGCUGAAGUAACAAAUGCCCUGCUUCCAGGAAAAGCCUCUAAGCAUCAGGUAACAUCAAAUCGUACCCCAAACCGACACAGGUGGUCAGGUAGAGAAUACCAAGGCGCUUGAGAGAACUCGGGUGAAGGAACUAGGCAAAAUGGUGCCGUAACUUCGGGAGAAGGCACGCUGGUGUGUAGGUGAAGUCCCUGCGGAUGGAGCUGAGACCAGUCGAAGAUACCAGCUGGCUGCAACUGUUUAUUAAAAACACAGCACUGUGCAAACACGAAAGUGGACGUAUACGGUGUGACGCCUGCCCGGUGCCGGAAGGUUAAUUGAUGGGGUUAUCCGUAAGGAGAAGCUCUUGAUCGAAGCCCCGGUAAACGGCGGCCGUAACUAUAACGGUCCUAAGGUAGCGAAAUUCCUUGUCGGGUAAGUUCCGACCUGCACGAAUGGCGUAAUGAUGGCCAGGCUGUCUCCACCCGAGACUCAGUGAAAUUGAACUCGCUGUGAAGAUGCAGUGUACCCGCGGCAAGACGGAAAGACCCCGUGAACCUUUACUAUAGCUUGACACUGAACAUUGAGCCUUGAUGUGUAGGAUAGGUGGGAGGCUUUGAAGCGUGGACGCCAGUCUGCGUGGAGCCAACCUUGAAAUACCACCCUUUAAUGUUUGAUGUUCUAACGUUGGCCCCUGACCGGGGUUGCGGACAGUGUCUGGUGGGUAGUUUGACUGGGGCGGUCUCCUCCCAAAGCGUAACGGAGGAGCACGAAGGUUAGCUAAUCCUGGUCGGACAUCAGGAGGUUAGUGCAAUGGCAUAAGCUAGCUUGACUGCGAGCGUGACGGCGCGAGCAGGUGCGAAAGCAGGUCAUAGUGAUCCGGUGGUUCUGAAUGGAAGGGCCAUCGCUCAACGGAUAAAAGGUACUCCGGGGAUAACAGGCUGAUACCGCCCAAGAGUUCAUAUCGACGGCGGUGUUUGGCACCUCGAUGUCGGCUCAUCACAUCCUGGGGCUGAAGUAGGUCCCAAGGGUAUGGCUGUUCGCCAUUUAAAGUGGUACGCGAGCUGGGUUUAGAACGUCGUGAGACAGUUCGGUCCCUAUCUGCCGUGGGCGCUGGAGAAUUGAGGGGGGCUGCUCCUAGUACGAGAGGACCGGAGUGGACGCAUCACUGGUGUUCGGGUUGUCAUGCCAAUGGCACUGCCCGGUAGCUAAAUGCGGAAGAGAUAAGUGCUGAAAGCAUCUAAGCACGAAACUUGCCCCGAGAUGAGUUCUCCCUGAGACUUUAAGUCUCCUGAAGGAACGUUGAAGACGACGACGUUGAUAGGCCGGGUGUGUAAGCGCAGCGAUGCGUUGAGCUAACCGGUACUAAUGAACCGUGAGGCUUAACCUUACAACGCCGAAG